CCAACCAAAGAGCAAAUUUCUACAAAGACGAUGGCCUCAUAGACCGGAGCCCUUCUGACAACAUGGAAAUUAACAGUGUUUCCAGGUCUGAUGAAGGACGAUACAAGUGCAGCAUUUCUGGUGUUGGAACAUCACCAGAAAGCUGGCUUCAUGUCAGAUCAUAUUCUUCAGCAGAGACCCCGUCAGAUGACUCCAAUUCCACUCCUGACUUAUUCCUGCUGUGGAUUGUGUUUCCUAUUUUAGUGAUAAUAUUGACACUGCUGGUAGUCGGAUUUCUUAAUACUUGCAAACACAGAGUUUCCUCAAAGACAUCAUCAGCGACAAACUCACAUGGAGACCAUCCAGGAGAUGAUGACAUGUUAUAUUCUAGAGCCAUUUACUACACCUUACGCCCGGGAGAGACUGAACUCAAAGGU
ensembl:lncRNA